rnacentral:rRNA from 1 species
CUUACCAAGGCUUGACAUAUACGAGAACGGGCCAGAAAUGGUCAACUCUUUGGACACUCGUAAACAGGUGGUGCAUGGUUGUCGUCAGCUCGUGUCGUGAGAUGUUGGGUUAAGUCCCGCAACGAGCGCAACCCUCGUUCUAUGUUGCCAGCACGUAAUGGUGGGAACUCAUGGGAUACUGCCGGGGUCAACUCGGAGGAAGGUGGGGAUGACGUCAAAUCAUCAUGCCCCUUAUGUCUUGGGCUUCACGCAUGCUACAAUGGCCGGUACAAAGGGCUGCAAUACCGUGAGGUGGAGCGAAUCCCAAAAAGCCGGUCCCAGUUCGGAUUGAGGUCUGCAACUCGACCUCAUGAAGUCGGAGUCGCUAGUAAUCGCAGAUCAGCAACGCUGCGGUGAAUACGUU